rnacentral:rRNA from 1 species
UACAGAGGGUGCAAGCGUUGUUCGGAAUUACUGGGCGUAAAGGGCGCGUAGGCGGCCUGUUAAGUCGAACGUGAAAUCCCCGGGCUCAACCCGGGAACUGCGUCCGAUACUGGCAGGCUUGAAUCCGGGAGAGGGAUGCGGAAUUCCAGGUGUAGCGGUGAAAUGCGUAGAUAUCUGGAGGAACACCGGUGGCGAAGGCGGCAUCCUGGACCGGUAUUGACGCUGAGGCGCGAAAGCCAGGGGAGCAAACGGG